GAUGAAGAACGUAGCGAAAUGCGAUACGUAGUGUGAAUUGCAGAAUUCAGUGAAUCAUCGAAUCUUUGAACGCACAUUGCACCUCUCGGUAUUCCGGGAGGUAUGCCUGUUCGAGCGUCAUUACAACCCUCAAGCUCAGCUUGGUGUUGGGCCCCGCCGCCCCGGCGGGCCCUAAAGUCAGUGGCGGUGCCGUCCGGCUCCGAGCGUAGUAAUUCUUCUCGCUCUGGAGGUCCGGUCGUGUGCUCGCCAGCAACCCCCAAUUUUUUUCAGGUUGACCUCGGAUCAGGUAGGGAUACCCGCUGAACUUAAGCAUAUCAAUAAGCGGAGGA
rnacentral:misc_RNA from 1 species